ensembl:lncRNA
AUUGUAUUUGUCAUACUUCUUUUCUUGCUUGUGAGCUAUGUGAGUCAUACCAUCACCCAGAAGAUGGACUACAGCUUAUGUACUGCAGACUCAACCUCUUUUCACUUGAAAGGACAUAAUCAAACAAAAAUCCUUCAAAAACAGUUCUACUGAAGAGAGGACAUAGACAGGAGAAGCAAAUAUAUGAGUUUGGUUGGAGAGGAAGAGUUCUGGGAGGAGUAAGAGACAAAGGAGAUCUCAUUAAUUAUGUUUCCAGAUGAUGCUGAGUAGCAAGAUCCAGCGAAAUUAUUGCAGUGGUGAGUACUGCACUAAUUCCCUGUGUGCAGGAAAUUCUGGAGGUAGCUGUUUUCAUCUGGCAAAAUAAAGACUGUGAGAUCAUCUUGAAACACAGGUCAGUUUUACUACCAUCUUUCUAUUAAAUUAAGUGUAAGAGAUUCACAUCUCCAUCUUAAAGGCAAAUGCAAAUUCCUUCAACAUCUGAAUUGUCU